GAUUAACGCUAGCGGCAGGCAUAAUACAUGCAAGUUGAACGGGAUUAGUUUAGCAAUAGACUAUGAGAGUGGCGCACGGGUGCGUAACACGUAUGCAACCUGCCCUUGACUGGAGGAUAGCCUCUCGAAAGAGAGAUUAAUAUUCCAUAACAUAUAGGUUAAGCAUUUAACUUAUAUCAAAGCUCCGGCGGUCAAGGAUGGGCAUGCGGUUGAUUAGCUAGUUGGUGAGGUAACGGCUCACCAAGGCGACGAUCAAUAGGGGGUCUGAGAGGAUGUCCCCCCACACUGGUACUGAGACACGGACCAGACUCCUACGGGAGGCAGCAGUAGGGAAUAUUGGUCAAUGGAGGCAACUCUGAACCAGCCAUGCCGCGUGCAGGAAGACUGCCCUAUGGGUUGUAAACUGCUUUUGUACGGGAAGAAAUGUUGCUACGUGUAGCAAUUUGACGGUACCGUAAGAAUAAGGAUCGGCUAACUUCGUG
rnacentral:rRNA from 1 species